rnacentral:rRNA from 1 species
CCUACGGGUGGCAGCAGUGGGGAAUAUUGCACAAUGGAGGAAACUCUGAUGCAGCAACGCAGCGUGCGUGAUGAAGUAUCUCGGUAUGUAAAGCUCUAUCAGCAGGGAGGAGAAUGACGGUACCUGACUAAGAAGCCCCGGCUAACUACGUGCCAGCAGCCGCGGUAAUACGUAGGGGGCAAGCGUUAUCCGGAUUUACUGGGUGUAAAGGGAGCGUAGACGGCUGGCCAAGUCUGCAGUGAAAGCCCGGGGUUUAACCCCGGAACGGCUUUGGGAACUGGCCGGCUGGAGUGCUGGGGAGGCAGGCGGAAUUCGUGGUGUAGCGGUGAAAUGCGUAGAUAUCAGGAGGAACACCGGUGGCGAAGGCAGCCUGCUGUACAGUAACUGACGUUGAGGCUCGAAGGCGCGGGGAGCGAACAGGAUUAGAUACCCGGGUAGUC